GACGAACGCUGGCGGCGUGCUUAACACAUGCAAGUCGAACGGUGAAGCUCCAGCUUGCUGGAGUGGAUCAGUGGCGAACGGGUGAGUAACACGUGAGCAACCUGCCCCAGACUCUGGAAUAAGCGCUGGAAACGGCGUCUAAUACUGGAUACGAGAUCAAGCCGCAUGGUUAUGGUCUGGAAAGUUUUUCGGUUUGGGAUGGGCUCGCGGCCUAUCAGCUUGUUGGUGAGGUAAUGGCUCACCAAGGCGACGACGGGUAGCCGGCCUGAGAGGGCGACCGGCCACACUGGGACUGCGACACGGCCCAGACUCCUACGGGAGGCAGCAGUGGGGAAUAUUGCACAAUGGGCGAACGCCUGAUGCAGCGACGCCGCGUGAGGGAUGACGGCCUUCGGGUUGUAAACCUCUUUCAGCAGGGAAGAAGCGAAAGUGACGGUACCUGAAGAAGAAGCACCGGCUAACUACGUG
rnacentral:rRNA from 1 species